rnacentral:lncRNA from 1 species
AAGGCGGAGCUCCCCUGGAUGGCGUCAAGUUUGCGGGCACAGAGCACAGCCCACCAGGCCUGAAGGUCCGCUCAGGGGCCAUAGUGGUUGAGUUCUCUGUGGAACUGGGAUGGGGUGAACAGCCAGUUCCCGUCCUUUGGCCGCCUGGCCAACUGCCAGACUUAACCGCUGCCGCCCAGGCAUCUGUCUCUAGCGUUGCCACUACUUGGGUAGAAGUGGGGGUCGAGGUGGGGCGUGGAGCGUCACCGGUUGCCAGGCCAGCACUGUCUUUGCAACAUAUUCAGAUGGCGGCGGGCAGCUCGGGCGCCAGCAUGGGCUGGCGGGGCUCCCCUGGACGGCCCUCAGGUCGCUCACAGCAUUGUCCCAGGACUUCCUCGGCCUGUGCCAGGUGGGCAAGGUACGGGGGUAGCUUCCAAGGCUUCUAUCCCAACUCUACCUAUUUCUACCUAUUUUCUCUUGAGUUAUUUUGCCUUUAUCUCAGUUUUAUUUGCAAAAAUAGUAUACGCAAAAUACAUCGAGUGAAUGCACAUCAGGCAUAUAGAAGAUCUGGCAGAAACAUGUUUUCUCCUGCCCAUUUCCAGUCAGUAUUUGAACACAGAGGCUUCCACGGUUUUGAUUCUUUCCACAAAAGGUUAGUUUUGUCUGUUUUCACCAUUUAUGUAAGUGAAACUAUAAAUUAUAUAAUUUUUAUGUUCACUCACUAAACAUGCUUGUGACACAUCAUUUUGCUCCUACUGAUUAUUCAUUAUUUUGUAAUAUUCAAUUUUAUGACUGUACCACAGGUUUGAGGCCUUUGCUUGUUUUGUUUUUAAUCCAUUCCACUAUUGAUAGACACAAAAGCAGUUUCCGAUUUGAGGCUAUCAUGAAUAAACCUGCUACGAACAAAUCAGAUAUACAUAUUUUUUUCUGUAAUAAUAUUUUCACUUUUCUUGAGUUUAAGUACAUAAGAGUGGAUUUUCUGGGUUAUAAAAUAAGUAUAUAUUUGGCAUUGUAUGAAAUGGGGAGACAUUUUCCUAAGUGGUUAUGCCAUCUUAAACUACAAUGAAAAUGAGAGAAUCAGUUCCACUUUCUAACCAAUACUUGAUGCUGUCAGUUGUUUUAGUAUUAUCCAUUCUUAUGGGAUAUAACUGCUGAGUAGCUGUCUGCCUUCUCCCAUAACACAGAAAAUUGAGGGCCCAGAGGACAGUUUUAUUUUCAUAUUUGACAUCUUCUAUUAUUUUUUAUAGAAGGAUGAUUUCAGUAGUAAAAUUUUCUUUCAAUUUUCUAGGUUGUCUCUGAUUCUUACUGGGGUUCCUUGUCCUAAACCACAUUCAGAAAUUUUCACGACCGACUUCUUAUCUUUGUCAUACCAGGCCAAUGAGGGACAGCAUUCCUGAGACUUUUUAAGUACUUUGUGUGUGUGUGAUGGUCUAAUAAUCAUAGC